UACGUAGGGUGCAAGCGUUAUCCGGAAUUAUUGGGCGUAAAGAGCUCGUAGGCGGUUUGUCGCGUCUGCUGUGAAAACCCGAGGCUCAACCUCGGGCCUGCAGUGGGUACGGGCAGACUAGAGUGCGGUAGGGGAGAUUGGAAUUCCUGGUGUAGCGGUGGAAUGCGCAGAUAUCAGGAGGAACACCGAUGGCGAAGGCGGUGGUCUGGGCCGGCACUGACGCUGAGGAGCGAAAGCGUGGGUAGCAAACAGG
rnacentral:rRNA from 1 species